CACAGAGCCCAUUGGUCUGGGGAUGGUAGUGGUCACUGAUUAUAGGCUUAAUGUCACAGAAUUUCCAGAGGUGCUGUGUGACCUCCGCGGUAAACCGAGUACCCUGAUCCGAGAUGAUCUCCCUGGGUAACCCCAUCCGGGAGAAAAUCUGCAUGAGGGCCUCGGCUACCGUUCCAGCGUGGAUAUUGGUCAGUGCCACCGCCUCUGGGUAUCUAGUGGCAUAGUC